rnacentral:rRNA from 1 species
ACUUUCAACAACGGAUCUCUUGGUUCUGGCAUCGAUGAAGAACGCAGCGAAAUGCGAUAAGUAAUGUGAAUUGCAGAAUUCAGUGAACCAUCGAAUCUUUGAACGCACAUUGCGCCCGCCAGCACUCUGGCGGGCAUGCCUGUCCGAGCGUCGUCUCAA